GACGAACGCUGGCGGCGUGCUUAACACAUGCAAGUCGAACGGAAAGGCCCUGCUUUUGUGGGGUGCUCGAGUGGCGAACGGGUGAGUAACACGUGAGUAACCUGCCCUUGACUUUGGGAUAACUUCAGGAAACUGGGGCUAAUACCGGAUAGGAGCUCCUGCUGCAUGGUGGGGGUUGGAAAGUUUCGGCGGUUGGGGAUGGACUCGCGGCUUAUCAGCUUGUUGGUGGGGUAGUGGCUUACCAAGCCUUUGACGGGUAGCCGGCCUGAGAGGGUGACCGGCCACAUUGGGACUGAGAGACGGCCCAGAAUCCUACGGGAGGCAGCAGUGGGGAAUAUUGCACAAUGGGCGGAAGCCUGAUGCAGCAACGCCGCGUGCGGGAUGACGGCCUUCGGGUUGUAAACCGCUUUCGCCUGUGACGAAGCGUGAGUGACGGUAAUGGGUAAAGAAGCACCGGCUAACUACGUG
rnacentral:rRNA from 1 species